GUAACUUUUGCCUGCCUAGAAAUUUAGCAUGGAAAGUAGGUCAAGUUAUUUUCAAUGAAGAAUGUUAUAAACAGGUGCAAGAGAGACAAAAUUAGUCCAAACAUACUUGGCUACACUGAUAUAAUUCAAAGACUGUUAAAAUCAUGCUUGGUAAAAACAGAAGAUGUAGAAUGGGAAAUUAAUGAACUAAAAUUGGUCUGUCAGUGUGAGAAUAUGUGCCCCUGUGUUCACUAUUGUAAUGGCCACUGUUGUAAUAAUCUUUGUACAAAGUAUGCCUUGUGAGGUGUCAUUUAAAAACUCAUAAUUUGCUGGUCAGUAUUGUCCUGAUAAAACGCAUGUGGCAACAUUGUAUGUGAAGUUAUAAGAUUUCACUAGACACUUUAUAUCCUCAAUCACAACUGGAAAUGUUUAUCAAGAGGGGGAUUGACACUAAAAAAGGAAGGACAAACACCCCAUGACAACCCCACAUCUCUCUUCCUAUCCAUUGCAAUCAUGGCACCAGAAGCAUCAAAGAAAGUAUUUGUUGGACUGGAGAAGGGGUCCUGACCAAAGAAGUCUGGUCAGUAAGACUGCUGAAAAAGCAUGUGGUGAGAAAACUUUGCUUGAAUUUAACAUAGUUUGUUAAGUUAGAUAAAACACAACUGGUGUCUAUUUUUUCCUGUAGCCAUUUCUGACUUUUGUGCCUCAUUACUUGUACUUACUUAAAAUCUCCCUCUUUAUAGUUAAUAACCUUGUUUAAGCUAAUCCAGUGUGAAGUGUCUAGAAGACUCCAUUUGGGGUGGCAAAUUAUGUACAUAUUAUUUCUAUUACAGCAAUAAUGGACUUUGUAUAAA